rfam:Triticum aestivum genome assembly, contig: Triticum_aestivum_CS42_TGACv1_scaffold_593783_7BS
CUGUUACUCCCUUCGUUUCGAAUUACUUGUCGCAAGUAUGAAUGUAUCUAGAUGUAUUUUAGUUCUAGAUACAUCCAUUUCUACAACGAGUAAUUUAGAAUGGAGGGAGUAGUUG